UACGGAGGAUGCAAGCGUUUAUCCGGAAUGAUUGGGCGAAAGCGUCCGCAGGUGGCAAUGUAAGUCUGCUGUUAAAGAGUCUAGCUCAACUAGAUAAAAGCAGUGGAAACUCAUAGCUAGAGUACGUUCGGGGCAGAGGGAAUUCCUGGUGUUAGCGGUGAAAUGCGUAGAGAUCAGGAAGAAACACCGUGCGAAGGCGCUCUGCUAGGCCGUAACUGACACUGAGGACGAAAGCUAGGGGAGCGAAUGG
rnacentral:rRNA from 1 species